rnacentral:rRNA from 1 species
UGAACCUAGUGAUGUAUGGAUUAGUGGCGGACGGGUGAGUAACGCGUGGAUAACCUGCCGUAUACAGGGGGAUAACACUUAGAAAUAGGUGCUAAUACCGCAUAAGCGCACGGUUCCGCAUGGAACAGUGUGAAAAACUCCGGUGGUAUACGAUGGAUCCGCGUCUGAUUAGCCAGUUGGCGGGGUAACGGCCCACCAAAGCGACGAUCAGUAGCCGGCCUGAGAGGGUGAACGGCCACAUUGGGACUGAGACACGGCCCAAACUCCUACGGGAGGCAGCAGUGGGGAAUAUUGCACAAUGGGGGAAACCCUGAUGCAGCGACGCCGCGUGAGUGAAGAAGUAUUUCGGUACGUAAAGCUCUAUCAGCAGGGAAGAAAAAAAGUCCUUUGGACUUUGGACGGUACCUGACUAAGAAGCCCCGGCUAACUACGUGCCAGCAGCCGCGGUAAUACGUAGGGGGCAAGCGUUAUCCGGAUUUACUGGGUGUAAAGGGAGCGUAGACGGCAGCGCAAGUCUGGAGUGAAAUGCCGGGGCCCAACCCCGGAACUGCUUUGGAAACUGUGCAGCUGGAGUGCAGGAGAGGUAAGCGGAAUUCCUAGUGUAGCGGUGAAAUGCGUAGAUAUUAGGAGGAACACCAGUGGCGAAGGCGGCUUACUGGACUGUAACUGACGUUGAGGCUCGAAAGCGUGGGGAGCAAACAGGAUUAGAUACCCUGGUAGUCCACGCCGUAAACGAUGAUUACUAGGUGUCGGGGGGUCAAGGCCCUCCGGUGCCGCCGCAAACGCAUUAAGUAAUCCACCUGGGGAGUACGUUCGCA